UGUAUAUAUAUAUAUAUAUAUAUAUAUAUAUAUAUAUAUAUGUGUGUGUGUGUGUGUGUGUGUGUUCAAGAUCAACUGAGGCUGCCUCACGUCGCACGCAGCAGAGGUCAAAGCAAACGCCAACGUAAAAACCUAACGCCAAAACACGCUUCAGAAGACCUUCACAAUUUUCUGCUCUCAGUUACACGGACUAUCAGGAGGAACUUCAACAGGUUGAUAACGACCACGUCGCUGUCACACAAAUCACUCGAUAAAGUGUACAAAAGGAUUGCUCCGUCAUGCUCACAUCAUGCAUGCAUCUUUCAUCGUUCUGCCCGCUCAAACAUGUGGCGUGCCACAUCCACGCUUCCGGUUUCCACACUCGUAUGUCCCCGCUCAAUCGCAAGUAGCUCUACCAUCCACCUCCUCACAUGCUGCACCGACUCCACUCCCUAAUCCGACCCGAAAUCCCCUUUCCCAGCACCACUACCAAAGGCCGUCCAGACCUUCGGAUUCCCAUGCAUCAUCAUCAUCAUCACCGCCAACACCACCCAUUGAUCUGCAGGUCUACGAGAGCCACCAAGGCAAACCAAAAUUCUCUAUGCCCGCACACUUCCCGACUCGGCAACGAUCCGCUCCGACCACGUGCACCACGCCCCAACCCUACCUCACUCUCCCUCCCACCCCGAACUACCACAAAAAUCCAAUCGAAAAACCAUACCACCUGCACCGCCCCCAGACCGAAAGGGAAAAAAGAAGAAGAAGAAGAAAGAAAGAAAGAAAAAAAGAAAGAAAGAAAGGAAAUAAAUAAAUAAAUAAAUACGCGCGCACACACACAAACACAACACACAGCACAUCACAGCACAAAACGAGACAAAGUACAAGACAAACGCAGGCACAAACACGCGCCCAGGGAAAACGAGCAACUCACUAUUCGGGAUUCAUCGUGUCGUCCGGAUCGGCGCUCUCGCGACCUGCUGCCUUCCGCCCUCAGCCCGCUCCGAUCUGCCGCUACGAGCAACGCACCGCGAAACCCCGACUCCGGAUCACGACCGACACAAUAACUGCUGCUGCUGCUGCUAACGAAACACGGAGAACGAGAGGUCGCAACAAGGAACACGCAAAAGCCUCGGCGCACGGGAGGAGGCCCGGGUGUGAGCAGGGAAGGGUGGGUUGAGAGUGAGUGCAGGCAGGGCAAUGGGGUCUGCGAACGAAAGCUUUGGCUAUGGCUUGCCUACUUGCCAACUCUUCCUCCGCCUCGUUUAGAAAUUUCCUACUACACUACUGGAGAUACAGACCCGUCGCCCUGGUCCCCCCUGUUCCCCCUCCUCUGCUGAGGUGGCGCUCAUCCACCCCUCCUCCGCUGCUACUUCUUCUUCUUCCCCCUCCACGUCCGUAGAUCCGCUCCCCUCUUUGGCUUCGGCCUGGUAGUACCCGGUCGCCUCUGCCGUGA
rnacentral:lncRNA from 1 species